AUUGAACGCUGGCGGCAUGCUUUACACAUGCAAGUCGGACGAGUGGCGAACGGGUGAGUAACGUCUCGGAACGUACCGAGUAGUGGGGGAUAACUGUCAGAAAGGACAGCUAAUACCGCAUAUUAGUCGAUCCGCCGAUGUGUGAUUAGCUGGUGGGUGGGGUAAAGGCCCACCAAGGCGACGAUCAGUAGCGGGUCUGAGAGGAUGAUCGGCCACACUGGGACUGAGACACGGCCCAGACUCCUACGGGAGGCAGCAGUGGGGAAUUUUGGACAAUGGGCGCAAGCCUGAUCCAGCCAUGCCGCGUGUCUGAAGAAGGCCUUCGGGUUGUAAAGGACUUUUGGCAGGGAAGCGGUACCUGAAGAAGAAGCACCGGCUAACUACGUGCCAGCAGCCGCGGUAAUUC
rnacentral:rRNA from 1 species